rnacentral:rRNA from 1 species
AGCGAACGCUGGCGGCAGGCUUAACACAUGCAAGUCGAACGGGCAUCUUCGGAUGUCAGUGGCAGACGGGUGCGUAACACGUGGGAACGUACCCUUCGGUUCGGAAUAACUCAGGGAAACUUGAGCUAAUACCGGAUACGCCCUUUUGGGGAAAGGUUUACUGCCGAAGGAUCGGCCCGCGCCUGAUUAGCUUGUUGGUGGGGUAACGGCCUACCAAGGCGACGAUCAGUAGCUGGUCAGAGAGGAUGAUCAGUCACACUGGGACUGAGACACGGCCCAGACUCCUACGGGAGGCAGCAGUGGGGAAUAUUGGACAAUGGGCGCAAGCCUGAUCCAGCCAUGCCGCGUGAGUGAUGAAGGCCUUAGGGUUGUAAAGCUCUUUUGUCCGGGACGAUAAUGACGGUACCGGAAGAAUAAGCCCCGGCUAACUUCGUG